AAAAAAAUAUUUAAUUAUACAAACUAAUUCCUAUAACAUUAAUUUUUAGUAAAUUGAAUUAAAGAAUUGGGCUGGAAUAUUAUUAAUAACAAAAAACUCUUUUUGCUAUCAAGUUUUUUAAUCAUUGGAUGAGAAAUUGUAAAUUUAGAAUGACAUUAGUCUCUUAGGAUUAAGUGGUCCCUCUAAGGUUGAGUGGUUUUCACUGGAUUAUAAUAUUUAAUUCAAUAGUUAGAGGUUGAGUGGUUUUUACUGGAUUAUAAUAUUUAAUUCAAUAGUUAGAAAUGAUGAAAAGAAUUGAUCCAAAGGCUAAAAAUUUGAUAGCAAAAAAAAUCUUUUGCUAUCAUCAGUAUUCUAGCCCGACUCUUGAAUUAAAUAUGGAAGUAUAAAUGUUAAUUUGUAAAAUAUUGUUUAUUGAAGGUACAAAAUUAAUUAAAGAUAAUUUCUAUGUAUUACAAUUGUUGCAAAUAUUUUUUUUUUGUCAAUUGUUUAUAUAUUCCUAAAAAAUUUUCAACUUUCUUAUUUAUCUUUUUUAGAAGGCUAAUAUUAAAAAUACCUUUUUUACGUUCCAACCUAUUUCAAAUAUAUUUCUAGAAUUAAAAUAUGUUA
rnacentral:lncRNA from 1 species